CUGUAUGAGCUGUCUGUAUAUUUUAGAAACAAAUCCCUUGUCGGUAGCACCAUUUGUAAAUAUUUUUCCCCAGCGCAUAAGUUGUCUUUUCAUUUUGUUUAUGGUUUCCCUUGCUGUUCAAAAGCUUUUAAGUUUAAUUAGGUCCCAUUUGUUUAUUUUUGCUUUGGUUUCCACUACUCUAGGAGAUGGAUCCAUUUUUUGAAUAUGGUUGCAGUUUUGGAUAUUGCUGCAAUUUACAUCAAAGAGGUUUUGGCCUAAGCUUACCUCUAAGAGUUUUAUAGUAUCCAGUCUUAUAUUUAGGGAUUUUUUUUUUUUUCUUUUUAGGGCUGCACCAGUGGCAUAUGAAAGUUCCCAGGCUAUGGGUCGGAUCAGAUCUACAGCUGCUGCCCUAUGCCACAGCCACAGCAACUUAAGGUCCAAGCCACAUCUGCGACCUACACCAUAGCUCACAGCAACGCUGGAUUCUUAACCCACUGAGCAAGACCAGGGAUCGAACCCACAUCCUCAAAGAUCCUAGUUGAGUAUGUUACUGCUAAGCCAUGAUGGGAACUCCCUAUAUUUAGGUUUUAAUGCAUUUAAAAAAUAUUUUAAUCUAUUUCGAGUUUAUUUAUAUAUAUAUUUUGUAUGGUGUUAGAGAAUGUAUGGUAUUCUAAUUUCAUUCUUUUACAUGUAGCUAGCUAUCCAGUUUCCAUAGCCCACUUACUGAAGAGAGUGUCUUCUGUCCAUUGUAUAUUUUUGCCUCCUUUGUUGUAGAUUAACUGGCCAUAACUGUGUGGGUUUACCUCUGGGCUUUCUAUCCUAUUCCACUGAUCUGUAUUUCUGUUUUUGUGCCAGUACCAUACUGUUUUGAUGACUGCAUUUUUGUAGUAUAGUCUAAAGUCAGGAAGCCUGACUCAUCCAGCUCUGCUCUUCUUUCUCAAUAUUGCUUUGGCAAUCUUGUGUGUUUUGAUACAAAUUCUAAGAAGAAACUUGAAAGCUUACACUGGUUGUCCUUGAAUCUCUCUGACUGUUCCUUCUUCAUCUCCAUACAGGCUCAUGAUUGUCCACCUGCCUCUGACAGUGGUCCACAGGAUUCCUUCAUUAUGAGGCCAACAGUCCCAGGCUCCACACUCUUCCUGGGCAAUCUGUGAAUCCCCCAUGUCAAUCUCUAAACCAGAGCCUCCUCCGAGAUUUAGACUCACUCUCCUUUGGCUCCCUGAACAAUUUUACCCAUCCCCCCAGAUCUAUCUUCGUCUUGGAUGGAAACACUCCAUUCAACCCUAGCAGGAAAGCUGAGAUUCUUUCCAUAUGCUGCCCUUUCUAUCAUAGCUCAUGGUGACCAGUCCCCAAGUCCCCAAGGUUUUAUCUUCUAAAGAUCGCCCAGAUAGUCCUCUCCUGGGCCUUCCCACCCCCAGUGUCCUAGGUCAGGCCCAGCACGUCUCCCAUCUACUCUACAACCCAAACUGCUGUGUCUACUGCCACCAGGGAGGCUUCCAGAAGGUAAAUCUGAGCAGGACCUUCUCUAUUGAACAAUCCAUCAACAACUUCCUGUGCACAAGUACGAAACCUUUAUUUUGACUUCAAGACCCUCUGCAACCUUGUCAUUUGCCCUCUCCCCAUGCUCCCUAAAUGGGGCCCAGGCCACUGAAAGGGCAUGGUAGGUCAGAGCCAGAGCCUAGCAAACUUAAUCUUCCUGCCUCAAAUUUUUGUCAUAAAAUAAAACCCAUUUCUUUCUUGUUCUUUUUUUUUUUUUUAAGGGCUGCACCCAUGGCAUAUGGAGUUUCCCAGGCUAGGGGUCCAAUCGAAGCUAUAGCCUCUGGCCUAUGCCACAGCCAUAGCAACAUGGGAUCUGAGACACAUCUGCGACCGACACCACAGCUCAUGGCAACACUGGAUCCUUAAUCCACUGAGUUCAGGAACUGAACCUGCAUCCUCAUGGAUGCUAGUCAGUUUCUGCUGAGUUACAACAGGAACUCCUCUUUUUCUGUUUCUAUCCCAUAUUUUCUGUUUUGUUUUGUUUUUGUUUAUUUAUUUAUUUAUUUAUUUAUUUGGUUACCGCAUUAUCAUAGGAAAAGAAAGUGAGCAAGUAAAAAAAUUUGAAGGCUUUGCGAUUGAGGAGAUUCUAGAAUAUGGGAUGGAGCUUGACUAACACAAGCUCAUCCAAAGGUGGGGCUCUGAUAA
rnacentral:lncRNA from 1 species